GGUAAAUGUAGAGACUUACCUGUAAGUCUCUUCAUUUACCUGUCAGAGCACUCUGAUUGGAUGGCUUAAACCCACCAACCAGAGUGCUCUGAGUCUGCGCGGAGCCCUCCAUGGGUGAAGAUGGAUAAUUUUUAUUUAUUUAUUUUUUAAAGUGCGUCACAGAGGAAGAUGUCAAGGAGAUUAAAGACCUCCUUACCAGUAACUAACAAGCUACUUGAACUCUCUGUGAUACAAGGUGUACCAAAAAAGUUACGACUUAAGAGGCAUGUGUUCAUGGUAAGAUGUGACUCAUCUGCUAGGGAUUUACCUGAACUGAAACCUUUACUGCACCAAUGUCACACCUCUGUGAUACAAGGUGUACCAAAAAAGUUACGACUUAAAGUUGAACGACAUAUGGGGAUCUAUUUUCCCAUCGUUACGAUAGGGUGGCC